GUCCUCGUAGCUCAUCAGGAUAGAGCGAUCGCCUCCUAAGCGAUAGGUAGCAAGUUCGAGUCUUGUCGGGGACG
rfam:Pilibacter termitis strain ATCC BAA-1030 genome assembly, contig: EI49DRAFT_scaffold00001.1